CGUUUGAGAACAGAGUGCAAUUCCUUGGCAGAGAUUAGGCCAUUCUUAUCGAUAUCGUACAAAUCGAAAGCGUCCUGUAGAUCUUUGUUACCUCCACUGGAAGACUCAGCGUCCUGAUGAAACUCAGCGAACUCGUCGAGGUCGAUGAAUCCGUCGCCGUCCUUGUCGAUCUCGGACAUAAUGCGGCGGAUCUCGUCGGAGGAGAUCUUGCCGCCAAGUUCGCCGAGAGCGGCGCCGAGCUCAUUGACGGAAAUCUUGCCGUCGCCGUUCUUGUCGAACUUGUUGAAGACCUUGAUGACGUCGUCCAUGGAGCCCAAGGAAGAUCCUGGAUUUGAAAUGGAAAGG
rnacentral:misc_RNA from 1 species